UACGUAGGGUGCAAGCGUUGUCCGGAAUUAUUGGGCGUAAAGAGCUCGUAGGCGGUUUGUCACGUCUGCUGUGAAAACUGGAGGCUCAACCUCCAGCUUGCAGUGGGUACGGGCAGACUAGAGUGCGGCAGGGGAGACUGGAAUUCCUGGUGUAGCGGUGAAAUGCGCAGAUAUCAGGAGGAACACCGGUGGCGAAGGCGGCAUCCUGGACUACUACUGACGCUGAGGAGCGAAAGCGUGGGGGAGCAAACAGG
rnacentral:rRNA from 1 species